rnacentral:rRNA from 1 species
UCAGGACGAACGCUGGCGGCGUGCUUAACACAUGCAAGUCGAACGGAAAGGCCCAGCUUGCUGGGUACUCGAGUGGCGAACGGGUGAGUAACACGUGGGUGAUCUGCCCUGCACUCUGGGAUAAGCGCUGGAAACGGCGUCUAAUACUGGAUAUGAGCCUCUUCCGCAUGGUGGGGGUUGGAAAGAUUUUUUGGUCUGGGAUGGGCUCGCGGCCUAUCAGCUUGUUGGUGAGGUAAUGGCUCACCAAGGCGUCGACGGGUAGCCGGCCUGAGAGGGUGACCGGCCACACUGGGACUGAGACACGGCCCAGACUCCUACGGGAGGCAGCAGUGGGGAAUAUUGCACAAUGGGCGGAAGCCUGAUGCAGCAACGCCGCGUGAGGGAUGACGGCCUUCGGGUUGUAAACCUCUUUUAGCAGGGAAGAAGCGAGAGUGACGGUACCUGCAGAAAAAGCGCCGGCUAACUACGUGCCAGCAGCCGCGGUAAUACGUAGGGCGCAAGCGUUAUCCGGAAUUAUUGGGCGUAAAGAGCUCGUAGGCGGUUUGUCGCGUCUGCUGUGAAAUCCCGAGGCUCAACCUCGGGCCUGCAGUGGGUACGGGCAGACUAGAGUGCGGUAGGGGAGAUUGGAAUUCCUGGUGUAGCGGUGGAAUGCGCAGAUAUCAGGAGGAACACCGAUGGCGAAGGCAGAUCUCUGGGCCGUAACUGACGCUGAGGAGCGAAAGGGUGGGGAGCAAACAGGAUUAGAUACCCUGGUAGUC